UUUUUUUUCCUUUUCCUGCUUUCUUCACCUACGGUCGAGCGGCUUCGGUGGGUCACCGGAGGUUGGGUCUCCGGCGUUCAGAGCUCCGGCGAAGACUGGCGGAAGACUCCGAGUGUGGGUGUCGCGAUGGAAGGCAGGCCCAACUGGUCACGGGUCAGGCGAGACAGGAGCGGCACGGGCGAAGGAGACAGCCGGCGUCGGAGUUUUGGUGCGGAUCGAGCGGCAGCAGCAACAGGGAGGCGCGGCGUCGGUGACCGGCGAACAGCGGGGUUGCGGGUCACAGCGAUGUUGUCCCACGGGUGCGUAGUGGCUCGGCGUUUAGUUUCGGCGUCGUGGGUCAGCAAAUCAGAGCAACAACGGCGACUGGGCAGAGGUGCUGGUAUGGUGGCGUAGGCUGAGUGGAGGCAGACCACUGUGCUGCCGGGCGCAAGUUGCAAGUUAUGGGCUUCGGGUCGCGAGGCUGCAGAGGUGACGGGGCGACGCGGUGGCGCGUCACGAGCAACAGAGGAGAUGCGGGCCGGUUCGGAAUCGGCAGUGUCACGGGUUGCAGAAGCGCGGCAGUGUCGGGCUCCGGCGGUGCUACUGGGCGUCGGCGAGGUCGCGAGGCGAGCGGGGGCGCUGGGACGGCGAUGCGGCGGCACGGGGAAGGUUGGCUCGGCGGCGGCGCGAUUCUGGGUCGCCGGUGGCUCGGCAGCCGGUGCAGGGAAGCGGCACGGGCAGACCCCCCCCCCCCCCCCUACACGAGGAAGAUGAACAGUCGUGGGGGCUUUUCUUCUUUCUUUUUUUUUUUUUUUUCGAUUUUUUUCUCUCUGCAGCAACCUCACGAUUGAUCCGUACGUAUCCUUUUAUAGGCGACGCAAAACAGGAUCUUUUUUUUAAAAUAUUUUCAUCUCCCGAAUAUUGCUUAUAACCUCUUGAUCACAAAAAUCCUUAUCUAAAAAAUAUUAUCCCCCGAUUUCAUCAUCUAUUGAUAAAAAAUAAGAUUACAAUGCGAUUUUUUUUAAUUUUCAAAAACCAUAAUAUCACAUCAAAUCUUAAUUUUUUCGCAAGAUAAUCAAUUAAAAAUAACGACGGGCUUGGGUUAAUUUUAUCCUUUCAUGGGCCUAGCCCGGCCUAUUAAUUUAAAAUUCAAAAACACCAAUUCGACCCAUCCGCCACCGGUCCAAUAAAUAAAAUGCAAAAUAUGCAAACUAAAUGUAGCUAUGCAAUUAAAUUUUUUUAAGGAUAAAAUUAACCCAUAAUUUUUAUGCAAUAAAUGACUAAAUGGAUCGCCAAAAUUUAGGUGUCAACAGCUGCCCCUCUUUGAAGGUGAGCUGGAAGAGGUGGCAUUCAAAGACAAAUUGAGAUCUAAAUUUUGACCAUGCAAAUGCACUUAAUGAUUUUUUUGUCGGAAAAUGAAUUCCAUCUUUUAAUGCAAUUUAUAUGAUGCAUGGAAAUGCUAAUGCAAAUGCAUGAUGUCAAAGGAAAGAACGUACCUACAAUUACUUACCAAUUAGUGCGGUAAAGCAUUUUGAGGUACAUGAUAAAUCCCUAUUUACUCCAUAAGUACCCAACUCUCACUCAGGUUCCUUGAAAAGCGUAAUAGGUAAGAACAUUCACAUCCAAAGUGAAAUGUUCAACGGAAAAAAUUGAGACAUCUAGAUCCAGACUGAGAUGUCAAGAUUUUUUGAAAAUCUCAAAAUACCUAAAUCCAGACUAAGGUAUAAUGAGAAGGAUUGACAAACAUUCACAUCCAGAGUGAAAUGUUUGAAUGAAAAUAAUCAAGACAUCCAGGUCCAGACAGAGAUGUCACAAUUUUAGAAGCUCGAAAUACCUAGAUCCAGACUAAGUAUAACGAGAAAGGUCGAAAAACAUUCACAUCCAGAGUGAAACAUUCAACGAAGAAAAUUGAGACGUCCAGAUCCAGACUGAGAUGUCGAAAUUUUGGAAUGCAAUUUGUAUGCAAAUGGUAAAGGAACUUACCUGGAAUAACUUACCUUCAAAGAGGGUAGAGUGAUUCAAGAUAGUUGGUGUUACAUGUCCAGGACCUGUACCAUUUUACGGUCGCCCGGAAUAGUAACAUGGCUUUGUAAAGAGACUGCUUUCCCAGGACUCGUACCAUUCUACGGUUGCCCAGUAUGACAGUGUUUGGUUGUGUCUAGGACUCGUACCAUUCUACGGUCGCCUGAAUAGGGAAAUAGGUUUUGUCUAGGACCCGUACCAUUCUACGGUCGCCUAAACGGGGAUUUACCUACCAGGACCCGUACCAUUCUACGGUCGCCUGAAUAGGGAAAUAGGUUUUGUCUAGGACCCGUACCAUUCUACGGUCGCCUAAACGGGGAUUCACUUUCUAGGACCCGUACCAUUCUACGGUCGCCUGAAUGGGGAAAUUGCUUUUCCAGGACCCGUACCAUUCUACGGUCGCCUAAACGAGGUUUUGCUUGGCUAGGACCCGAACCAUUCUUCGGUCGCCCAGCCUUGCAACAGAGAUCAACUGACCAGGACCCGAACCAUUCUUCGGUCGCCUUAAUCAGAUUGAGUCUAGAGGAAAAACUUUGGGGGACAACUCAGUCGAGUGUCGAUUUAAAAGGGACUCUGGGCUACAAAAGCACGCCAGGUCGAUAAAACUGGACAGCUUGACCAAGUCAAGUGUCGAUGCACUUAAGAGAGAAUACCUGCACAAUGACAAGUAUUUUAGAAUAUGGUAGAGAUAUACUUACUUGGUGAUAUCUCUAAUCCUUGGGGAUAUGUCUUUUGGAAUUUAGAUAUCCUGUGGAGGUCUUUCACCUCCUGAUGGAGGUUUCUCAUCUUCUAAUAUCAUGAAACAUUCUGAAAGGAACUUGAAUUACCUGUCAGACAUGACUUAGAGCAAAAACUGAUAUGCAUUCAUCAAAGAGAUAGACAAUCUAAGCUACUCUAGAAUGCAAUUUUCAAAAUUCAGUGAGGUUUUCAUCAAUUCAAUCAGGGUUUAUGCAUAAUGACCUUUGCAUCACCCAAAUUUCCACUUGAGAGAAUUAUCAUUUAAGACAAUCUUCACUCAUGACAUGGAUUUCUAAGAAUACUAAAUGAGAGACUUUCGGUUAGAAAGGACUUUCACUCACUCUCAUUUAGAAUGGCUAUUUUAUGAGAAUCACUCAAUUUUAUCAUAUCGACAUGGGUCCGAGUAUUCUCGCAAGUGGUACGAUCUUACCAAUCUGAGAGGUCUUUAACAAGGACCAUAAUGUGGCUUGGUCAACGGCUUAACAAAAGGACUCUUUGAGUCAAAGCUAUUGAAUGAACUGUCUUGUAAUCAUCUCCGGGUUUACAAGUCAAGAACCCUGCAAAAUGAAAAAGAAAUAAUCUUGCUCGCACUUCUUCGAGCGAUGCUUAUAAACAUAUGAACUCCUACGUUAAUUCAAAUGCCCUAAUCUAAAGAGACUUUAUAAGGGAUGUAACGUAGGUUGGGUUCAUGGGUUGAGAAAUGAAAGGAUCAUUAGGCUCAAAAUGUGUGUAAAAGGUGUGAAUUGAUGAUCAUCUUGGCAUUGCCACCAGUUUUCUUUUUCACCAUUGGGGACCGUCUUCAUGAAAUGCCCCAUUGAUUAUGAAAACUCAACUUUUGAGCUCUUUGAGUUUGCUCCAUUGAAACUCAAUUCUUGCAAUUGACAGUCACCUAUCUUGACUUUCUUUUUUCAUCUAUGGGCAUUGACUUUGCUUUUACCAGGCACACCACUUUUUAUGCCCAUAGCUCUCAUGCAUUUUUUCUUCAAUUUUUUUUUCAUGGGCAUUGGCCUUGCUUUUACCAGGCACACUGCUUUUUCAUGCCCCUUAAUUCUAUUUUGAAUUCAAUUCUUGCGCACAAUGCAUGCGUCAAGCAAUUACACUUUGAAUGACACUCGAACUUUUCAAAAGUCUUCAUCUGCCUUUUGCCUUGCCCCAGUGUGGGGGAUGAUCACCAACUGGGUUCAAAGAAAUGAAAUUGCAGGCUCAAGUGGGCUAUGCAAAGGAUAUAAGUGUAUGGGAUAAAGAAAGAAAUGCUCUUCAUCAUCCUAAGGCACUUAAAUUAACACAUGAAUUCAAUGUAAUAGCAUGACUUGAAGAUUGAUGCAAGUGAGAGCAAGAAAAUUUCAAUUCAUUUUCCUCACCUCAUGAUGUCAUUUGAUCUCUUAGUUACCCCAAUGUGGGGGUGAUUCUUGACAGGGGUGAUUUGAAAAGAAUAUCCAUAAGUGUAUGGGCUCAAAAGGGUUAAGCAAUGGAUCACCUGUAGUGUUUGGGAUAGAGAUAUGAAUUGCCUCUCAUCAUUUUGGUUGCCGUACCUUUUGCGAGAGAACUCUUUACCUUAUGGAUAUGAACCUUCCUACACUUAUCUCACAAGUGUAUGAAUAUGGGACUGUGUAUAGGAUAGGGUUUGCCUUUCAUUAUCCCGACUCGUCUCAUUUAAUAUGCUCAAUCAAUUCCACAUCAUUCAUUAAAUUAGUCCAUCUUGAUGUUCUUUAGUGGAAUUGAUGGAUAAAACAUGUAAGAGUCAUCAUGCAAAAAAACUCAACAACUUUAAGCAUGUCAAAUUCAAACAGUUUUCUAUACUGCAAAAUGGUUUUAAGCAUUCAUUCAAGGAUUCCUCUACAAUGGGAAUUUCCUCAGCAGUUGAUGUCUUUGGAUUGUCCCUAUCAUUCAAGACUGAAAAUCGACUUUUGCCCCUGCACAAGAGAACGUGCAUCAGUAUGAUACUAUGCAACAUAAAAGUAAAUUCAAAUUGCACAUCCAUUUUGGCUCAGGUUAAGACUUUGUCCCAGUCUGAGCACUACCAAAACCUAUCAUGCCAUCAAUUUGUCAACUCUUCCACCAGGGAAUGAUGGUCCUCUUUUACUUGCCUCAAAUCUUUUUCAUUACAAGUGCGCUCUAAACCUGUUGAUCACAAGUCAAGUUUAUGAUCAUUGAAACUUGAUACGUCAUUCUCAGAUGUCCCUUGUCAUAAAGUUAUAGAAUUAUGUUCUGAGACAAGAAGCAAAUGAGUCAGACAAACAAACAAAUUUAAUCUGCUACAAGUUUUGGGAAAAUGUUUUUUUUUUUUGUUCAUUUUUUUUUAGCAGUGAAAAGCUUUUGUUUAAAAAAGUUUUUGGGAGGAAGCAUGAGAAAGUCCAGCCCUCAGGAUUUCUCCGUGGAUGAUAUUUUUCUUUUUCAUGGUUGGAUAUCGUCAUUGGACCGGUUUGGAGUACUCCGUCAUGUCCUCAAAAUUUGAAAUAAAAAUGUAAUUUCAUUGAAUCGAAUCAAAUGAAUUACAUUAUUGGAAUGAAAAUUGUGAUUCCUAAUCCCUAAAAAGAGAAAACAUCAAAAACGAUUCUUAGAAAGCGAAAACAAUUCCUAAAAAGCAAUAACAAUUUCCACGCAGGGGAAGGUGCAACCGAGCAUGCCCCUAAUUAAACAAGGAAAGUGAACUACUUAGGACCAUGAAUCACAUAUGCUUAAGUUCUUCACUCUCCUUGAUCGUGUGAUGAGGACCCUUCAGGUCAGAGAUUCUUCCUUCUAGAUAUGUCACUAGUCUCUUCAUGGUGUCAUCAAAUUCAGUUACCUCGGGAAAAUGAGACGAUUCAAAAGUUCUCUUGGCUCUCUUCUCCGAGUCGUAGAUUCUUAUUGAAGAUGGAGUACCUAUGUCAUCGCAGCCUUUCUGCUUGAUGAGAAAAAUCACAGUAGCAGACAAUUCAUUGACUUGAUUUUGGUGGUGUGCAAUUUGCUUGUUCAUAUUGUCAAUGAUACAGUCCAGUGCCUCGUUUUGAUCUGCCAUUUUAACUCUUGACUGUGUACGGAUGGGUGAGCGAGAUCGCUUCAUAAUCACCUAAAAAAAAAAUGGGAACAUGUAAGCAUGAAGUGUAAAUAGAAAGCUAGUCCAUGACAACCAUUUAAUUUUAAUCAAGAAAAGUCCACAUAUGAAGAGGAUUUCCUAAAAACGGACUAGGAAAACAAAGAUAUGAGAUGCCCCAAUAGGGACAAAAUUUCCUACUCAUGAACUAGGAAGAGCCAAGACUUGAAUUGAAAAUAAAUUUCCAAUUUUUUUUAUUUAUUUUCCAAAUGAUUAAUUACAUGGCAAUUUCCUCAUUUCAGUCAUUAGAUCAAAUGAUUAUCCUGAAUUGUCAUGGGCGGACCAAAAGCAUGACAAAGUAAGUAAAUUGCAUAGUAUAGAGAUAGAAGACUUACUUCACCAAGGGAAAUUAAUGGCAAUCACAUGGACAUGCACAUGAGAUGUGAGGCUCGAUUUCUGUCUAAAUGGCUUAACAAAGUGGAGCUAAAAGGAUAAUCUGACCGUUGCAGUCUCGCAUUAAUGUGUCAGGUCCCCCUAACUCCGGCUCAGUCGAAUGGAAUACGCAAUAAUCACGCAGUCUCGCGGAUAUGGAUAAACACAUUCAACACCAUGAAAGAAAUUUCGGGGAAGAGAAGGUCAACCUCUACAUAGUAGUCUCGCUUUGGAGGAAGUAUCAUUCUCAACACCAUCCUAGAAAUCCUAUCGCAGCCCAGGUUCGACCACAGGUUGUGUGUGCAAAUAGUGUGGUGCUAAAGCAAUAAAGCAUGCACAACAGUUUAAAUGCAAACAACACUUCUAUAGUUUUAAUUCAAACAUUCAUCCCUAACUCCAAUUUGCAAGACAGGGGUUAGCAAAGACUACUCCCCUUAUAUCUCCCAUCUGCAAGAAUAUUUAACACCUUAGAAAUGUUAGGGACAUACCUGGGAUCCUCGCUGCCAAACAAAAAUAUUUUUAAAAAGAAAAAUUGGCCUAAGUCCACUAAGUGUUUUAACACAUCUCCCCAGUGGAGUCGCCAAGCUGUCGCGACCUAAUUUUCGCGGGUUCACCACCUAAAACUAGGUUAAUGGAUUGUUAAGCCUAAACUUAACUCGGGCUCUCCUAAGCCCAUACCAAUUCGCGACUUAGGUUUGAAUUCUUAACAUGCAAAUUAAUUUUAAUCAGGAGUCGCCACUAAUCUAUUUUUGGUGGGUCGAUUAGAAACCCAAGUAAAGUAACGGGAGAUUUACUUUACUCCUACGAACUAGAGAUUUAUGAGUUCGGGGACUUGGUUACACUAUACUAUCCUAGUGCCCUUUCGGUACCUUUUUAUUUCAUUUUUUCAAAAAAUGUUUGGCAAUUGAAUUGAUUUUAAUCUAACUUUCUAACAUGUGAGGUGAUCAUACGUGUGCGCAUACCACCAAUUUAACACUCAAGAAAGCAAUUUAAUAUUGCAAAACAUACAUAGGAGCAAUGAAAGCAUCUACAUUGUUAAAUCAGAAAUCACAGCAGCAGCCUUAGAUAUGACUUCUAAUUAACAUGCAAUUUUAAUUUUUUGUUUUCACUUUAUUUAAUGAAAAUCAUGACUUAUGCAAUGCAUCUAAUAUGACAUGGCAGCAUGACCUAAACUAGAUGACAUGAAGAAAUGCAAUAAUUAAAUGCCAUCUAAAUGACCUAAUUCUAAUGACAUGCAAUGCGAUGCAAUGACAUACAAAAUUAUUUAAACCAAGAUGACAUGCCGCAUAUAAUUUAGCACACGAGUUAUAUGUCAUGCGACAUUUAUUAAAUGAUUUAGUCUAAUGACGAGGAAGUUCUAAUUAAAUGAACCUAAUAAGAACUAAAUGACGUGCAUUUGAUAUUUCUAUUUAAAAAUGCGAAAAUAAUCUAGCUAGAUUAAAAUUCAAUCUAAUUUAAACUAAGGAUUAAGUCACAUUAAAAUCUAAUUUAAACUAAGAUAUUAUCUUAAUCUAACAUGUAAUUGAUCUAAUAUGCAAUGACGUGCGGAGCAAGCCCUAAUUCUACAUGACAUAUGCAUGAGAUUUUUUAUCUUUUAUUUUUUAUUUAAAAUUCAAAAUUUAAAAUUGCCACGUAAUUAAACAUGCAACUAAAAUCCUAAAUUAAUGCAUUUUUUAUAUUUUUCGAACUAAAAUCCCUAUCCUAGCUAUGCAAGAUAACAAGAAAUAUUCUAAAACAAACUGAAUCCUAAUUCAAAUAUUUUUGUAGAUUUUUUUUAGUGAUUCUCUAAAACAAGUCAUUAUCAACUAAGCAGUAAAUCUAAACAAUCAAGAUAUGCAAUCAAAUAAAGGAUCAAAAUAAUCGAAAAAAUAACAUGUCUCACAGGUCAAAUUAACGAUUAUCCUAACCCUAAUUAUCACAACAAAGAGGUCAAAAUAACUAAAAAUCUGAUCCGAAUUCUUACGGAUCAAAUUAAUAGUUAUAUUGAUUCAACACUUAAAAUACUAUCGACAAAUCCCAGAAAUUAUUAUAAUAAAAAAAUGAUCCGAAUUCUUACGGAUCAAAUUAGUAAUUACAAUAAUUCUAGGGAAUAUCAUGUGGAUAAUGCCUACAAAAUCCAUAAAAUAAAGAUCACCCCAAAACAUAAAAGAAAUAAAUAAAACAAAUAGAAAAAUAGAAAUAAAACUACCUAAUUUCUUUUCCUUUUUCUUCCUUUUGUUUUUUUUUCCUUUUAUUGCUUUCUUCACCUACGGUCGAGCGGCUUCGGUGGGUCACCGGAGGUUGGGUCUUCGGCGUUCAGAGCUCCGGCGAAGACUGGCGGAAGACUCCGAGUGUGGGUGUCACGAUGGAAGGCAGGCCCAACUGGUCACGGGUCAGGCGAGAUAGGAGCGGCACAAGCGAAGGAGACAGUCGGCGUCGGAGUUUUGGCGCGGACCGGGCGGCAGCAGCAACAGGGAGGCGCGGCGUCGGUGACCGGCGAACAGCGGGGUUGCGGGUCGCAGCGAUGUUGUCCCACGGGUGCGUAGUGGCUCGGCGUUUAGUUUCGGCGUCGUGGGUCAGCAAAUCAGAGCAACAACGGCGACUGGGCAGAGGUGCUGGUAUGGUGGCGUAGGCUGAGUGGAGGCAGAUCACUGUGCUGCCGGGCGCAAGUUGCAAGUUGUGGGCUUCGGGUUGCGAGGUUGUAGAGGCGACGGGGCGACGCGGUGGCGCGUCACGAGCAACAGAGGAGAUGCGGGCCGGUUCGGAAUCGGCAGUGUCACGGGUUGCAGAAGCGCGGCAGUGUCGGGCUCCGGCGGUGCUACUGGGCGUCGGCGGGGUCGCGAGGCGAGCGGGGGCGCUGGGACGGCGACGCGGCGACACGGGGAAGGUUGGCUCAGCGGCGGCGCGAUUCUGGGUCGCCGGUGGCUCGGCGGCCGGUGCAGGGAAGCGGCACGGGCAGACCCCCCCCC
rnacentral:lncRNA from 1 species